rnacentral:rRNA from 1 species
CCUACGGGAGGCAGCCGUGAGGAAUAUUGGUCAAUGGACGAGAGUCUGAACCAGCCAAGUAGCGUGAAGGCUGACUGCCCUAUGGGUUGUAAACUUCUUUUAUAUGGGAAUAAAAUGUUCCACGUGUGGGAUUUUGUAUGUACCAUAUGAAUAAGGAUCGGCUAACUCCGUGCCAGCAGCCGCGGUACUACGGAGGCUCCGAGCGUUAUCCGGAUUGAUUGGGUUUAAAGGGAGCGUAGAUGGAUUGUUAAGUCAGUUGUGAAAGUUUGCGGCUUAACCGUGAAAUUGCAGUUGAAACUGGCAGUCUUGAGUACAGUAGAGGUGGGCAGAAUUCGUGGUGUAGCGGUGAAAUGCUUAGAGAUCACGAAGAACUCCGAUUGCGAAGGCAGUUCACUGGACUGCAACUGACACUGAGGCUCGAAAGUGUGGGUAUCAAACAGGAUUAGAUACCCUUGUAGUC